rnacentral:lncRNA from 1 species
GAACGGGUUCUCUCUUGUGUCAUAUUGCCUGGAAGGUUGCUAUCUCAUGAAAACCAAAGUAGAAUCUAGUGAUGGCCACGCCUUUGAAAUGGAAAUAGAAAUCUCCAAUGCGGCUUUAGAAGAUGGAACACUGGAAUACUCACGAUGAUUGGGAAGCCUUUCUUCUGAGUAAAUAGUCCACGACAUCAGGAUCGGUCUCUAACAGGCUGAUCAGCACUUCGUUCUGGAGAUCUGGGGGAACCUGAAGGAGCCAAAUGUUGAGGCAUAAAUAAAACCAUUCCAGAAACAGGCAACAUAUGGUCACUGACAAUUUUACUGUAGCACAAAACAGAGCCCUAAAAGCUGCAAGACAGCAGAAUGAUUUGCUGGUUAAAACCAAACCUACGCCAAC